UUUCGCAAUGCCCGAAAGGGUGACGAAGCGACGCCGCGUGUAGGAAGAAGGCCUUCGGGUUGUAAACCACUGUCGGGAGUUAGGAAAUGCAGGUGCGUUAAUAGCGCACUUGCUUGACUAAGGCUCCAGAGGAAGCCACGGCUAACUCUGUGCCAGCAGCCGCGGUAAUACAGAGGCGGCAAGCGUUGUUCGGAAUUAUUGGGCGUAAAGAGCACGUAGGCGGCCUUGCAAGUCAGUUGUGAAAGCCUUCCGCUUAACGGAAGAACGGCAUCUGAUACUACAGGGCUUGAGUACGGGAGGGGAGAGUGGAACUUCUGGUGGAGCGGUGAAAUGCGUAGAUAUCAGAAGGAACGCCGGCGGCGAAAGCGACUCUCUGGUCCGAAACUGACGCUGAGUGUGCGAAAGCUAGGGGAGCAAACGGGAUUAGAUACCCCGGUAGUCCUAGCCGUAAACGAUGGGCACUAAGUAGAGGGGUUUU
rnacentral:rRNA from 1 species